rnacentral:rRNA from 1 species
CAGUCGCCGCGGGAACACGAAGGGUGCAAGCGUUAAUCGGAAUUACUGGGCGUAAAGCGCGCGUAGGUGGUUUGGUAAGAUGGAUGUGAAAUCCCCGGGCUCAACCUGGGAACUGCAUCCAUAACUGCCUGACUAGAGUACGGUAGAGGGUGGUGGAAUUUCCUGUGUAGCGGUGAAAUGCGUAGAUAUAGGAAGGAACACCAGUGGCGAAGGCGACCACCUGGACUGAUACUGACACUGAGGUGCGAAAGCGUGGGGAGCAAACAGGAUUAGAUACCCCAGUAGUCCCUGUCUCUUAUAA